rnacentral:lncRNA from 1 species
CGGAGGGAUGGGGCCGCACAGGGGCAACAGCAUGGUCAAAGCCUUUCACACGGGGCCGGUUUUCUGACCCGACUUGUGCUGGUGCCUCAAAGUGGACGCAGUGGAAAACCUGAAGCAGAAUAACAUCUUGGAUCCACUGCCAGAAACUGGACCACAUAUCCUGGAUUUGAGUGACAAGAACAUGUUACUAAGAAAGAAAAGCCUUGCAGUAAAAAUUUGGGCCAAGAUGAAUAUAACAUUACAAGCCAAACUAAGCCUGCACCUCAAAGGAUCACAGGAUGUGCACUCCCUCAUUAAAAUAAUGGAUGUAAUAUAACUAGCUGAACUUUCACACUCAAGAGUCAAACAUACAGAGUCCAACAACAAAAGACAUACAGGAGGAAAGCCAGUAGGCCUGCCCCAGCUGCACACAGAUGGAGCCAGAGCCUAGCUGGUGACAUGUGUAGCCAGAGUCCCAGUCAUAGUGAUGGAUGUCCCCAUUGAGAAGGUUGUUGCGCGAACGACUCACUCCCUCCAGCACCAGUGCACUUUUGGUCACCAGCGCCACAUUCUCCCGUGGAACUGAAACAUGAUCUACAGUAAACCCCCAAGUUUUCUUCUACAUGCACUUAAUCUCACGUUUAUCACAGAAAAAUUUGAUAAAAUACAACUUAAUUGUGACAUGGGUUGAGGGAAUACCCAAAUUGGUAGGUGGCAUACAAUUGGCUGGAGCCUUGCCAAACCACCACUUAAAGCACUCUCUAUAUUUUUGUUUGACUAAUUGGCUGAUGAAGAUCCGCCUCCUUCAAAGAAAGGAGCGGGACUACACUGCCUCCCUAAAGGCCCACGCUACCCAGUUAGUUCACCACAAGUCUCUGUUUCAACUACAUAGCCACACCUACUUCAGCUUCUCUAUUAACCCACAAACUGAGCAAUAAGGUUCCGGUGAUCACACAUUUAGUGCACAAUUAUCAGCAUCAAGAGACAUAAAGAGAAAAAAGUUCUAAAAAAUACUUUUACUGUCAUAAAAUGAAAUAUUGCAUGGACACACUAAAGUAAAGAAAACCUAGAUUAAUUCAUUACUGGAGGUAGCGGGUAGUGAGCAAAUGUUUUGAUGAGCUAGGUAGAUUCGGUACUCGUGGUGGUGGAGAGGAGAAUGUCUAGAUAAAGCACUAAACUACCAAACAGUGGGAGAUUUACUUACAAUGUCAAUGUUUGGAAAAUUUGUAAAAGCAAAAACAAAGCAAGGUAAAAAGGUUGGUUAAAUAUUAACUAAUGAUACACACUGUCUUGCUGGUUCUUGUUGUGAUAGUGACCAUCUUCAUCUAUAUCUUGCCACUAGCAUGCUAGCCACUGAACUUAAUCUAAGCCUAACCAAACAAGAAGCAUGACAUAGAUAAUGUUUAGUAAGAUAAGGAUGUUGGCAGCAAGAUCAAGAACAACAACAGGGCAGCACUCUUCAUUUUGUUUCAACAAGUUUCUGGAAGUUUAUAUAUACUGAAUGAUAUUCAGCAACCUAGAUUCUAUUUGACAUGCAAGUAUUAACCUAAGGAGAGGCUACAGUUAUCUUCAUAUUAUUCAGCCAAUUUUUCCACAAUGAAGCAAGGUCUCCCAUGUUGUAAAAGUAAUAUGGUUCCAAUGGAGAGAAAAAAAAUGUAAAACUGAACUGCAAAGAAAUUGUGGUUGACUAUAAAAUGCUUGUGUUGUACCACUACAGUAGAAGAAUCUUUUACCUUUAUGUACCACUACAGUAGAAGAAUCUUUUACCUUAUGUUAUGCUACAUGGAAAUAGUAAAGCUACUGUACAUAUAAAAAUGUAUAAUUCAUAAUUAUAAGUAAAUCCCCAACUGUUUAUUACUAUACUGUGUUUAGUGGCUUAUCCAGACAUCAUCCUCCCCACCACAACAACUACCCAUCCAUCAGCUCCCUCAACACAAUGCUCACUGAAAAACUCCCUCACCACUAGCCACACACUACGUCCAGUAAUGAACAAAUAUUUGAUUUUCCUACACGACUUUCCCAUGCAAUCUUUCAUCUUGUAACAGUUAAAAUUAUUUUGGGGAUUUUUUUUUAUGUUGAUAAUUGUGCACCAUGAGUAUGCCUGCCAGAAUCCCUAUUUCUCAGUUUGUGUUAAUAAAGACAGUAAAUAUGCAUUUUAGGGAUCAAUAUGACUCAAAUUUUAGUACUUAGCAGAUGCCUUUAAAACAUAAGCCUGUAAAGGCCUGUCCAGACGAGGGGCAGUUGCCCGCCGUGCAAACACUGUUACCAUAUCAUACUAAGCAGUGGAAUGACAUCAUAAGCACAGAAACAAAGGAAACAGAUCUGGUAACAAACAGUGCUACCAGAUGUUGCUGUGUUCCACAGUCCCUACUCUGUUCACCGGGCAAAGACUGUCAGGUGAACUAAUGUCCACACUAGGGGCAGUUGCUCGCCGGGCACAACCCGUUGAUCGUAUAUUCCUCGCUUGUUUGGCAGGGUUUUGCAACAUGCUCUCCUUAUAUGAGUGCCAACCAUCACACCAGCAGGCAUUACUUCAACCACGGGCAAGGGCACUUCGAUGAUUUGCACGUGGUUUUCUCGCUUCUGACAUCAUGUUCGCUCCCACCAUCAAAACAGUUGAAGCAGUAUGAUAUCUGGUAACAGUGUUUACACAGCGGGCAACUGCCCCUCGUCUGGACGGAGGUUAACAAGCUGUAAUAAAAACUGACCAUAUUAA